AAUCAACGCUGGCGGCGUGCCUCAGACAUGCAAGUCGAACGCGAAAGUUCCCUUCGGGGAGCGAGUAGAGUGGCGCACGGGUGAGUAACACGUAGGUAAUUUACCUCGGGUGGGGAAGUAACAGCCGGAAACGGCUGCUAAUACCGCAUAAUGCAGCGGCUCGACAUCGAGACAGUUGUUAAAGCGGGGGAUCGCAAGACCUCGCGCCUGAAGAGAAGCCUGCGGCAGAUUAGCUAGUUGGUGGGGUAAGUGGCUCACCAAGGCGACGAUCUGUAGCCGGCCUGAGAGGGCGGUCGGCCACACUGACACUGACAUACGGGUCAGACUCCUACGGGAGGCAGCAGUCGGGAA
rnacentral:rRNA from 1 species